GACGAACGCUGGCGGCGUGCUUAACACAUGCAAGUCGAACGGAAAGGCCCUGCUUUUGUGGGGUGCUCGAGUGGCGAACGGGUGAGUAACACGUGAGUAACCUGCCCUUGACUUUGGGAUAACUUCAGGAAACUGGGGCUAAUACCGGAUAGGAGCUCCUGCUGCAUGGUGGGGGUUGGAAAGUUUCGGCGGUUGGGGAUGGACUCGCGGCGUAUCAGCUUGUUGGUGGGGUAGUGGCUUACCAAGGCUUUGACGGGUAGCCGGCCUGAGAGGGUGACCGGCCACAUGGGGACUGAGAUACGGCCAAGACUCCUACGGGAGGCAGCAGGGGGGAAUAUUGCACAAUGGGCGGAAGCCUGAUGCAGCAACGCCGCGUGCGGGAUGACGGCCUUCGGGUUGUAAACCGCUUUCGCCUGUGACGAAGCGUGAGUGACGGUAAUGGGUAAAGAAGCACCGGCUAACUACGUG
rnacentral:rRNA from 1 species